rnacentral:rRNA from 1 species
ACGGAAGGCGGCAGUGAGGAAUAUUGGUCAAUGGACGGAAGUCUGAACCAGCCAAGUCGCGUGAAGGAAGAAGGUAUUAUGUAUUGUAAACUUCUUUAGACGUAGAGAAAUAAGUGCCUCGUGAGGCAUGAUGCUAGUAUACGUAGAAUAAGGAUCGGCUAACUCCGUGCCAGCAGCCGCGGUAAUACGGAGGAUCCGAGCGUUAUCCGGAUUUAUUGGGUUUAAAGGGUGCGAAGGCGGUCUUUUAAGUCAGUGGUUAAAGAGUGGGGCUCAACCUCAUCCCGCCAUUGAUACUGGGAGACUUGAUUGCGGUCGAGGUUGGCGGAAUUCGCCGUGUAGCGGUGAAAUGCAUAGAUAUGGCGAAGAACUCCGAUUGCGUAGGCAGCUGACCAGGCCGUAAAUGACGCUCAUGCACGAAAGUGCGGGGAUCGAACAGGAUUAGAUACCCUGGUA